rnacentral:rRNA from 1 species
UACGAAGGGGGCUAGCGUUGCUCGGAAUUACUGGGCGUAAAGAGUGCGUAGGCGGUUCUCCAAGUCCGUUGUGAAAGCCCCGGGCUCAACCUGGGAAUGGCAGUGGAAACUAGGGGACUUGAAUCUGGCAGAGGGGGGUGGAAUGCCGCGUGUAGCAGUGAAAUGCGUAGAGAUGCGGCGGAACACCGAUGGCGAAGGCAGCCCCCUGGGCUGAGAUUGACGCUCAGGCACGAAAGCGUGGGGAGCAAACAGG